GUGCCAGCAGCCGCGGUAAGACAGAGGGUGCAAACGUUGCUCGGAAUUACUGGGCGUAAAGCGCGUGUAGGUGGUUUGGCAAGUCGGACGUGAAAGCCCAGGGCUCAACCCUGGAAGUGCAUUCGAUACUACCAAGCUGGAGUACUGAAGAGGAGAGCGGAAUUCCCGGUGUAGAGGUGAAAUUCGUAGAUAUCGGGAGGAACACCAGUGGCGAAGGCGGCUUCCUGGCCUGUAACUGACGCUGAGACGCGAAAGCGUGGGGAGCGAACCGGAUUAGAUACCCGGGUAGUCC
rnacentral:rRNA from 1 species